rnacentral:piRNA from 1 species
UGCUGCUUUAUGCCAUGGGUUGCGA